rnacentral:ncRNA from 2 species
CUACGCUCACCAUGCCUCGGUGAACGGGAAAUCCGGUGUGAUGCCGGUGCGGCCCUCGCCACUGUGAUCGGGAAGUCCGGCUCCGGCCCUUCGUGGGCAGCCACUGGGCCUUCAUGGGCCUGGGAAGGCGGAGUCCGGGCGCUUCACCCGUCAGCCAGGAGACCGGCCGAGGCGCGUCAACCAUC